CCUACGGGCGGCAGCAGUGGGGAAUAUUGGACAAUGGGGGGAACCCUGAUCCAGCCAUGCCGCGUGUGUGAAGAAGACCCUCGGGUUGUAAAGCACUUUCAGUGAGGAAGAACGCCUGGUGGUUAAUACCCAUCAGGAAAGACAUCACUCACAGAAGAAGCACCGGCUAACUCCGUGCCAGCAGCCGCGGUAAUACGGAGGGUGCGAGCGUUAAUCGGAAUUACUGGGCGUAAAGCGCGCGUAGGUGGCUUGGUAAGCCGGUUGUGAAAGCCCCGGGCUCAACCUGGGAACGGCAUCCGGAACUGUCAAGCUAGAGUGCAGGAGAGGAAGGUAGAAUUCCCGGUGUAGCGGUGAAAUGCGUAGAGAUCGGGAGGAAUACCAGUGGCGAAGGCGGCCUUCUGGACUGACACUGACACUGAGGUGCGAAAGCGUGGGUAGCAAACAGGAUUAGAUACCCCGGUAGUC
rnacentral:rRNA from 1 species